GGGGGGGGGGGGCCGGCCCUAUACAUGCAAGUCGAACGAUGAUGCCUAGCUUGCUAGGUGGAUUAGUGGCGAACGGGUGAGUAACACGUGAGUAACCUGCCCCUGACUCUGGGAUAAGCCUGAGAAAUUGGGUCUAAUACUGGAUAUGAACAUUUACCGCAUGGUGGGUGUUGGAAAGAUUUUUUGGUUGGGGAUGGACUCGCGGCCUAUCAGCUUGUUGGUGAGGUAGUGGCUCACCAAGGCGACGACGGGUAGCCGGCCUGAGAGGGUGACCGGCCACACUGGGACUGAGACACGGCCCAGACUCCUACGGGAGGCAGCAGUGGGGAAUAUUGCACAAUGGGCGAAAGCCUGAUGCAGCGACGCCGCGUGAGGGAUGACGGCCUUCGGGUUGUAAACCUCUUUCAGUAAGGAAGAAGCGAAAGUGACGGUACUUGCAGAAGAAGCGCCGGCUAACUACGUGCCAGCAGCCGCGGUAAUACGUAGGGCGCGAGCGUUAUCCGGAAUUAUUGGGCGUAAAGAGCUCGUAGGCGGUUUGUCGCGUCUGCCGUGAAAGUCCGGGGCUUAACUCCGGAUCUGCGGUGGGUACGGGCAGGCUAGAGUGCAGUAGGGGAGACUGGAAUUCCUGGUGUAGCGGUGAAAUGCGCAGAUAUCAGGAGGAACACCGAUGGCGAAGGCAGGUCUCUGGGCUGUAACUGACGCUGAGGAGCGAAAGCAUGGGUAGCGAACAGGAUUAGAUACCCUGGUAGUCCAUGCCGUAAACGUUGGGCACUAGGUGUGGGGGACAUUCCACGUUUUCC
rnacentral:rRNA from 1 species